CCCUUAGAUGUUCUGGGCUGCACGCGCGCUACACUGACGCACGCAACAGGUGCCUGCUCCGAGAGGACUGGGUAAUCAUUUGAGUGUGCGUCGUGAUGGGGAUAGAAUAUUGUAAUUAUUACUCUUCAACGAGGAAUUCCUAGUAAGCGCCAGUCAGCAGCUUGCGCUGAUUACGUCCCUGCCCUUUGCACACACCGCCCGUCGCUCCUACCGAUGGGUGAUCCGGUGAAUGAUUCGGACUUCAGCGGCUCCCCUGGGGUGCGCCGGAGAAAGUUUUGUGAACCUUAUCACUUGGAGGAAGGAGAAGUCGUAACA
rnacentral:rRNA from 1 species